CCUGCAGUGGUUCAGACCGUUCAGACUGUGAACAUCUUCACUGAACCCCCCAAGGACCACAUCAUCUGGUCUCUCUUAUGCUUGGUCUACACGAACCCCUGCUGUCUUGGACUGGUCGCUCUCAUCUACUCCUUCAAGCCCGUAGUUUGCCAGACCAGGAAGUUGCACCAUCGUGAUGCAGUACGUGAGCAGAAAUGGAUAAAGGACAGAGACUUUUGAAUGACAGGUUCAGCUUUCAGAUCUUGUCAGUCCAGGGAUCGGAAAAUGGCUGGUGACCUGGAGGGUGCUAGGCAUUACGGCUCAACCGCCCGAAGUUUCAACAUCGCAGCCACUGUUUUGUUUUGUUUGGGGAUCUUGAUUUUCUUAAUUUCUAUA